CCCUUAGAUGUCCUGGGCCGCACGCGCGCUACACUGAUGCAUUCAACGAGUAUUUCCUUGGCCGAGAGGCCUGGGCAAUCUUUUAAACCUGCAUCGUGAUAGGGAUAGAUUAUUGCAAUUAUUAAUCUUGAACGAGGAAUUCCUAGUAAACGCAAAUCAUCAAUUUGCAUUGAUUACGUCCCUGCCCUUUGUACACACCGCCCGUCGCACCUACCGAUUGAAUGGUCCAGUGAAAUCUCGGGAUUGUGGCCAGUUCACUUUAUUGGGAGUUGGCUGCGAGAACUUGCUUAAACCUUAUCAUUUAGAGGAAGGUGAAGUCGUAACA
rnacentral:rRNA from 1 species